GGGCAGCCAAGUCGUGAGGCGGAGCUAAUCCCUUAAAGCCAUUCUCAGUUCGGAUUGUAGGCUGAAACUCGCCUACAUGAAGCUGGAGUUACUAGUAAUCGCAGAUCAGAAUGCUGCGGUGAAUGCGUUCCCGGGUCUUGUACACACCGCCCGUCACACCACGGAAGUUGGGGGCGCCCGAAGCCACUUAGCUAACCCUUUUGGGAAGCGAGUGUCGAAGGUGAAAUCAAUAACUGGGGUGAAGUCGUAACAAGGUAUC
rnacentral:rRNA from 1 species